ensembl:lncRNA
UUCCCAUGCAGUAUACGGUGGUAUUUAUGGGUGAUGUCACUGACAGCGCUUUCUUGAAUGUACAACAACACAACCAGUGGAUUAGAAAUUGCAAAGAAAUCUUCAAUAUAUAAUCUCCAAUGACAUAAUUAGAUACUUUAUAUUUUUAUUUGGUUGCUCCAGAAUACAUGAUAGUAACUUGAAGCUAAACAAAGAGGUCAUGUUUGUGGAUGUAGUGUGGUAUUUUAAUUUGUGACUCUAUAUUGUCCAGUUUCAACAAAAAUGAAAAUAAAUUAGGUUUUAGUAGAUUAUUCCAUCCAGGAUUAAUGGGUAAAUAUAGUCCGUUUCUAGCCAUCGACGAGUCAGUAACAGUUAACAGUUAAAAUGGCGUUAUGAAUGCCUUCAAUGACGUCACACUUAAUGGUUAUUCCCUAUGAUAAUGAAAUUAUUGUCAGUAGUUUAAAGAAGAUAAUGAGGGACAUUGUUCAUACUCAUACUCAUAAACAUGCAUACUUAUAUAUAAUUAAAUAAUAAGACGUGAUCGACACACAAUAAAUAUUCUCACAGGAUAUUAUUCCCAAUUACAUCAUAUCAUGUGACAUGUUAUACCUUUUGCUGUUUAAUAAUGUGAUGGAGGAUAGAAUAAAUCUCCCAUCAAACUAAUACAUACAAAUUGACCAUCGGUACAUUUUACGUGAAGGUGUUUCCCCAUUGGGCCCCUGGUGCUGUGAUGACGUCACUAUUUAGCGCAGGUUGACGAGCGGCACUGAUGACGCGUCCAAGAUGGCCGACAAGCACCGCAGCUGCUGCUCCGCAAAGACGAUGGAGGAGCCGAUGCGAGAAACGAGACUGACGGCGAACGCUGCUGACUGCUGAAUGUUUAGAGACACUUGAAGGUCCUGGAGGAGACGAGAACGGGAGCAAGGAGCAAACAUUUGGACCUUCAAGCGUCUCUGAUCAUUCAGCAGUCUGCACAAAAAACAGGAAACUUUUAGACACAAGCUUCAAGAGGCUCGGAUUCCUAUUUCAAAAGAGACUUACAUCAGCUUUCAUGGAAGACCGAUCAAAACCUUGUACUACCCAACGCACAGCUUCAGGAACAGUCGGGCAGCGGAAGUUACAGCUCAGGUGCUUGUCGGCCAUCUUGGACGCGUCAUCAGUGACGCCCGUCAACCUGAGCUAAAUAGUGACGUCAUUACAGCGCCAUGGCCCAUCUCGGAAGUAUCUUUAUGUGUAGUGUAACCAUAUCACUUCCACCUGGUCAAUGGAUAUUUAAUAGUUUGAUGGAAGAUUUAUUCAAUCCUCCAUCACAUUAUUAAAGAGCAUCAAUUAUAACAUGUCACAUGAUAUGAUUUUAUUGGGAA